UCCAGACUCCUACGGGAGGCAGCAGUGAGGAAUAUUGGUCAAUGGGCGAGAGCCUGAACCAGCCAAGUCGCGUGAGGAAGGACGGCCCUACGGGUUGUAAACCUCUUUUGCCGGGGGACAAACGGCGGCACGCGUGCCGUCCUGAGGGUACCCGGAGAAAAAGCAUCGGCUAACUCCGUGCCAGCAGCCGCGGUAAUACGGAGGAUGCGAGCGUUAUCCGGAUUUAUUGGGGUUAAAGGGUGCGUAGGCGGGCAUUUAAGCCGGCGGUCAAAUGUCGGGGCUCAACCCCGGCCUGCCGUCGGAACUGGGUGCCUUGAGUGGGCGAGAAGUAUGCGGAAUGCGUGGUGUAGCGGUGAAAUGCAUAGAUAUCACGCAGAACCCCGAUUGCGAAGGCAGCAUACCGGCGCCCUACUGACGCUGAGGCACGAAAGUGCGGGUAUCGAACAGGAUUAGAUACCCCGGUAACG
rnacentral:rRNA from 1 species